GGAAGAUUCAGAAUUGCUCAUUCCAAGCAUCAGAUCUAUAGGCCAUCUGGCAAGGACCUUUCGAGCAACGGAAACCAGACUCAUUGGUCCAUUGGUGGUUCUGUUAGAUGAUAGGGAACCAGAAGUAACUAGGGAAGCUGCAAUUGCAUUGAACAAAUUCGCUUCCUCCGAUAAUUUCCUGAGAGUCAAUCAUUGCAAGGCCAUAAUACAGGCAGGAGGUACCAAGCACCUAGUUCCACAUGUUUACUUUGGUGAACAAAUGGUUCAAGUUCCUUGUUUGAUUCUCUUGAGUUACAUAGCAACCUAUGUUCCUGAUAGUGAGGCAUUAGCUGAUGACAAUGCACAUAUAGUGUUGGAGUGGGCUAC
rnacentral:misc_RNA from 1 species